UGAAAAUCAUGCUCCAAAGAGGACAAAUUCUAAGGGCUCUUCAAAACCCCAGAGGAAUACAAGCCCACUGGAAAUGUAGCUAAUCAGCUAUGCAAAUGUGAUUUGCACAUAGGAAAGCACAAUAAACAAACCAGGGAUCUCCCGAGAAAGUACCAGAAGACGCCUUGGCUUAGAGAGCGCUGGGACAGCAUUUCCCCAGGGCAAGGAUCUGCUGAUUCUGAGUGUCUGAAGAGUUGCUUUGCAUGCGGCCUCAGCAGAUGUGUCCAUUUGCAUGUAGGUAAAUUUCCGCAUGUAAGGUCUCAGUAUCAAGCAGGUCUUCAGAGGACUGAAUGUCACAGGAUUAAAAUCUAAAACUCAUUUAGCAUUCACCAGUGCAACCAGCUAAUAGGCAUCAAGAUUUGCAUCAGAGGAUCAAGAUCUGUAGUUGGUUUAAUGGUAAGAAAUAGUCUUAGAAAUGCAGCUUAGAAAAAAAUUUAGAGACAUUUAUAGCAGCCUCAGAGCUGCCCCCUUGGGCAGCUCUACAGUUUCUCACUCUAUCCUCUGUACAGGAAGGGGUGUUCCCAGGGCCUACUUCCCUGUGGGCUCUGUCCACAGUGCUCUUCAGGGCUGCUCGUGGCUGGCUUAAUGAUGUUGAGCACUACUGGCUUUUCACAGGGACAGGGCUGCUGGACACCCUGCAAUGUGCAGGACAGUCCUGCCAGGUGAAACUGUCUCUUCUUCUGCAUGACUUUGGAAUGUCUCACUGAAAUUUUAUGUACAUGAACAACCUGCUGAUAAACUUCUGAGCAUAAAAGCUAAUUCAGUUUGGUAUGUAAACAAAAUAUUCAGUUUAAUUCACACUGAAUUUUUCAGCAAUGCAAGUACUAUGCAAACUGGGGAAAAGACUAGGCUUAGUUUUAUUCAGAGCUUUGUUGGGAGUUGUUCACUAUGUCAGAGAAACUUGAGGUUAACAUGUGCAGCAGCUCCAUUUGUGGGGUUCCAUGUAGGAGGCCAAGUGUUUGCCUACUUCCUGUUGGCUUCUAGCAAAAUCGGGCCUCCACCUCUGUCUACUGAAAUACGUAUUAUUUUACGGUGGUUCUGAACCCAGUGACAAGCACCUGCUUUCAGGAGCCAAGAAGUCCCUGGCAGAGUGCAGAGGCUCUCAGGUAAGGAUUCUGGAGUGCUGAUCCAUUCUUCACUGAGGUCUAAGGAGAGCAACCUGAUAUCUAAUCGCCGCCUAAGAAAGUCGCCUGAAAUAUUUGUGUCUCCUUGUUCAUAUAAGGAAAUAGAGUUCAAAGAAAUCAAAUCUGAACCCAUCGUUUUACUCCAAAAUACAGUAGUUGAUAGGGAAACGAAAUCCCACCUUUUACCUCGUCCCUUGUGACACAAUAUCGCCACCUGCUGGCCAAAACAUCACAGCGCAAUUGUGUGCAUCAAUAGUUUGUUCAGAAUGUGUAUUAGCUGUCAACCUUGAAAUACAGAUUACAGCACUCUGUGUUCCAAUCCACAACUUAGCACGCUAAUUCUAAACUUCACGAAGCCAAGUAUCAAGCCCCAAUUACACUGCUUUUCUCCAGAAAUAUGCUUUCUUUUAAAAUCAGAAAUUACAAUAUUAAAUCUUUUAUGUUCUUAAUUUACUUUAGCUUUUACAUUUAAUAAAUAUAAAUUAUGAAAAAAAUAUUAUAAUAGGUGUGUUGUCUGAUAGUAGGCAGAAAGCACAGUGUGUGCCAAAGAGAGACCUGGUUGCAUAAUCCCGCUGUCCCACUUAUUGGCUAUGUAAAUCUGGGCCUCAGUUUCUUUAUUUGUAAAAUGGAAAUAAGAAUACGUAACAUAGAGUGCAGUCAUGCAAAACAAAUAACAUAAAUUUGGUACCUAGAACAUGUGAUUGAGGAUAUGCUGAUUUAGUCUCCUUUUAUUAAAGAAAUGAUCAUAUUGUUAACUAAAUAUGGACACACCCACCACCUUUCCUCUAAAACUACUACAAGAGAAAUAUGAUUUGAAAGCAUAAAUCUCAUACAAGACUCUAAAAGCAAAAGCAGAACUCAGAUGGCAGAAUAGUUUAUUUUGUGUUUGUUUAUUGACUUUAUGGUUCAUUACAAUAACUUUCACUGAAUAGCUUCAAAGGAAAAGAAUUUAGUGCAAUAAGGUUCUGCUAUUACAAACAUACAUUUCAUUUUUAAAGUGAAUCAAAAACUUUUGUCUGAGGAAGUAGAGGACUAAAAGCUGAGUGAAUAACCUCUAUGAGCUGUCAAAGCAAGCAAGCCUCCAAGGGGGUUCUUGUGCGUGAGUUUUCAAAAGAAAAAUACUGCAUUCAGAGAGCAGAGGUAACUUUGCCUGGCUAUCUUUAUCUGAUAUUCUGACAUGAAAUGCCUCAUUCUCAAAGUAUUAUAAUUGUUUUAUUUUAAUUCCAUGGCUCGAUACAGUUCCUUUUAAUGUUGUAUUGGUGAAUAAGGUGGAUUCUAAAGUCAGGUUCAAACCUUGAUCUUGAACAAACUACCUAAAUUCCCUACACCUUGCUUGUAAGGUUACUGCUGAAGUUUGAUGAAGCAAUGCAUGCAAUGGCGUGUGGUUGGAACAAUGCUGGGAAUAAAGUAAGUGCUGUAUUCAUAUCAGAUAGCGUAUAUUUAAGAGCAAAGAAUAUUACCAGGGAUUUUAAAAAGUCAUUUCUGGCCAGGUCCAGUGGUUCACACCUGUAUUUCCUAGCACUUUGGGAGGCAGAAAGGUCUCUUGAGGCCAGGAGUUCAAGACCAGCGUGGGCAACAUAGAGAGACCCCUGUCUCUACAAAAUACAAACAAAAAUUUAAAAAAAUAGCUGGGCAUGGUGAUGCAAACCUAUAGUCCCAGCCACUCAGGAGGCUGAGACAGGAGGAUCGCUUGAACCCAGGAGGUCAAGGCUGCAGUAAGCAAUGAUGGCAUACCUGGAUUCCAGCCUGCAUGAUAGAGUGAAACCCUGUCUCUAAAAAAAAAGAAAAAACAAGGUCAUUUUUUAAUGAUAAAGUGGUGAAUUCACCUAGAGGACAUAACAAUUCUAAAUGUUUACACAGCUAAUAACAACAGAGAUUUUAUUGAUUGGUUUCUGGAUGUAUGCAUAUUUAAAAUUUAUCAACUCAUAUGCUUUAAAUAUGAGUAAUUGUACAUCAAGCAUACCUCAGUAAAACUAUUUUUAAAAAGUGACAUAAGAUAGAUGCAGGGUGGUUGGCAAUAUGACUGUAGAUAUAGCCUGAUUUGAGAGGCAUCAGGACACUUUCACUUCCCUAUCCCAAAAGACUACCAUGUCGUUUUUAUGAAUGCCUGAAAUUACCUCAUCAUAGUUUCAUUCUUUGGGAAUAAAAUCAUAUUCCCUUUUCAAAUGCAAAGAAGAGUAACUCUUAAUGUGACAUUGGUUGUUUUAGUACCUCAAUCAAAGUGAACUUUUCAAAUUAUUUCCAUUUUUCUAAGGGCCAACUUGGAUAAGGAUGAAGGGGAGGAGAGAUCCUGAUUAUAGGUGUAGUACACACACCUGCUAUUUCCACCCACCCGCUAUCCAUUCUACUUUCUUCUCAUAAUAAAACCCUAGUUUUCCUUUGAGGACACUGCAUCUCCUCGACUCUCAGUCCAUGUGACUUUGGUGGGGUUGACCCCACCCUUCCCCCCAGUCAUAGACAUUGAGCAAGAAAUGGAUCAAGCCAAUUAUCUUGAUGAACAAUCUUCACACCCAACGAUCUUGGGCAGUAUCCUUCACUGUUUCAGAGUUGAUCUGUGUGGCCAACAGAAUAAUGCAGAAAUGAUAGCAUGUACUCAAAGUCAAUGGGAUUCAAUUCCAGGGAUUUUCUUGGAGAUAUUGGGAAAAAUAAGGCCCUUUAUUUUAGACUUGAAAUGUAGAAGCCUGGAGCUUUUGAGAUCCAUCUUCCUAUAUAGGGAUAGUUUGUGAAUGAAGGCAAACCAAGAGAGGGAAGAGAGCACAUCAAACUAGAUAUUGUUACAGCAUUUGGGCACUGUGGUAAGCAGUCUUCAAUAUGGCCCCAAUCCUUGUCAUCUGGUGUUUACAAUCUUGGGUAGUAUCCUCCUACACUGUUUCAGGGCAGGUCUGCGUGGCUAAAAGAACAAUACAGAAAUGAUGGUAUAUGGCUUCCAAAGAUAGACCAUCAAAGACAAUGUGGUGUCUGCCCUACUCUCUUGGAUCACUUACUCUGGGGAAAGCCAGUCGCGUGUCAAGAGGAAACUAGAGUCCUCUGGAGGGGCCCAGUUAGGGAGGAACUGGGGCUGUUCACCAACAGCUAACACUAACCAACCAUGUGACUGAGUCAUCUUAGAAACAAAUUUUUUGGCCCCAGUCAAGUCUUCGGAUGAUAUAGCCAUAGCCUAUAUCCUGACUGCAGCCUCAUGAGAGAACCUACACAAGAACUGACCAGUUAAGCUGCUCCUAAGUUCCUCACCCACAGAAACCAUGAAAAAAAUGAUUGUUGCUUUUUUCAGCCACUCAGUUUUGGGAUACCUUGUCAUGCAGCAAUAGAUAACGAAUACAAGUAUCACUGUCACUGCCAUGCCUGGAAUGUUCAAAGCCAGACCCUAGGCCAAGCAUAGUAUGAUGAAAAAAAUCACUGGUCUUCCUUCCCAAACUCUCCAAGCUCGUUCCUGCCUAAAGGUGUUUGUACUUGCUGUUUUCUCUGCCUGGAAAACAUUUCCUCCAAAACUUUCCAUGGCUGCCUGAUCAUUUAGGCCUCAGCCCUUGUGUCACAUCCUCAGAGAGGCCUUCCCUCAAUACUACAUGGAAAAAAAGUGUCCCCUCUCCCAGUCACACUCUAUCACAUAGCCUUAUUUGUCUCCCUAGAACUUGGCACAUUAUGCAAUUAUCUUGUUUAUGGAUUUGUUUACUUGUUAUUAUGUGCCCUCCUCCAGCAGACCAUAAGUUUCACAAGAGUAGCAGCUGUGUCUGAAUGGUUCACCACAGUAUUCCCGAUGCCUAGAACAUGGUCAGUAACUGCUUUUUCAAUGAAAAAUAUUUGAGUUCCACUCUUUGCUCAUGGGUGACCUUGUCAAGUCAUGCCCUCCCUGCCCAAGGUUGUUGUAAAGGUGAAAUGGAAUCACAUAUGUGAAAUUACCUCAUACACUUCCCGACACAUGGGACAUCUUCAAAUGUCUUAGCCUACCUUCCCUAGAAAACAGGCUGAGACAAAGCUUAAGUGCAAUGCUUUAUUGCAAGAAAACCCUAGGGCUGGGAAAAUGAGGGGAAAGGAAAGAAAGGCAGGGAAGAGUAAGAAGCCAAUAUAGAGUAGUGCUACUGAGAGGCCCACUGCUUCACAGAUACAGCCAGCCACCUGGCCAUGGGAGACAUCUCCAGGUAAGCUGUAGAAGAACAUUACCCUUCAGAACAGUCCCUCACUGAGAGGAAUACAGAAGUAUUUAGUCCAUCCGUUUACACUGUAACAUGCUUCGCCUUGGUCAAAGUGUGCCCCAAGAGGAGUUACCUCCCUUCUACUUUGGGGAUUCAGAGUUACCUCCCUUCUACUUUGGGGAUUCAUCACGUAGUCACCAAGGAAGCCAGACUCCACCCCCUUUGGUGUGGCACUUCAUCUGAGGCCAAAAGUGAUGUAUGGACCCAGAGACUCUGGGCUCUAGUCCCCAAGGGUCCCGAAGAUAGAUGAGGUUGAGAGAGUCUGAAGCAGUCCAGGUGUGUCUGAUACAUCAACAAAUGCCAGUGAGUCCUGCAUGUGGGCAAGAACUGAGACCAGGACCCAGUCCUGGGACUGAGGCACAUAGGGGUCAGGGAUGGAGGAGAGUUUGAUCACAGGUUAAGAGGCUGCACAUUAAAGCAAGGAUGUCAAGAGUGUCCAAGAAUCUGAGAGGAGGGCAGAUCUGGUUCUUAGUCAUCUGUCCUCAAGAUCCUCAUGGCCCUGCAGGUCCAGUCAUUAGUCUUCCCUGCUGGUGUCUCUGUGGCAUCUGAGUUUUCCAUCUGCUCCCUGGUCAUCUGUCUUUUCCCACACCCUGCAUCCCCCUUAUCCUAAGCACAAGGCCCUCUCAGGUUCUCUAGCCCUCUCCCUUGGGCAUCUGACACUUCCUUGGGGAAUCCCAGAAACUUUUGGAUGUUUGUUUGUGCUCUCUUAGGAAAUGAGAAAUGCAAAGGCCUAUGAUAUGGUUUGGCUCUGUGUCCCCACCCAAAUCUCAUCUCCAAUUGUGAUCCCCACGUGUUGAGGGAGAGACCCGGUGGGAGCUGAUUGGAUCAUGGGGGUGGUUUCCCCCAUGCUGUUCUUGUGAUAGUGAGGGAGUUCUCACGCGAUCUGAUGGUUUAAAAGUGGCAGUUUUCCUUGCACUCUCUCUCUCCUGCCAUCUUGUGAAGAAGGCACUUACUUCCCCUUCACCUUCCACCAUGAUUGUAAGUUUCCUGAGGCCUCCCCAGCCAUGUGGAACUGUGAGUCAAUUAAACCUCCUUCCUUCAUAAAUUACCCAGUCUCAGGUAUUCUUUAUAGCAGUGUGAGAAUGGACUAAUAUAGCCUAUCUCAGACCAUUUCCUCCUGGACACAUAGGCUGCCAUUUCUAGCUUGUCAUACCCAUACUCUCAUAAGAGACUUAUCCACAAGACUCUCCUGGGAAGAGAGGUCCAGGUCUGCUCUGCUCCUGCUCCUGAAUAUUACCAAACCUACUCAGGAUUUUUAACAUGCAUACCCUGACCCUGGGUCUCAACCCAGGAGGACCCUUUGCAGAGUUGUAUACGAGUUUCUAACCCCAUUACUCUUCUCUCGGACUUAUCUCUCUUUUCCAGCAAUCAUUAGAACUCUUCACGUAUUUUAUCUCUUGUUUAUAUUUAUAAAUAUAUAUGUUUUGCUCUUGAGUUCUUUAGGUAUGGUUUCUGAGGCUCAAAGCCUGGUACUUGUAAUUUCAUAUUUUUUUGUCUCCAAGAUAUGCUCAUUACCAAAUGUUUUGAUAGUUUAUUUUAAAACUCAGUUGACACUUUUUUCUUUUCUCAGCACAUUUGCUGAGUCUUUUUUCCCAUGAGGCAAAACUUCCAUUUGGUCUCUUACAUUGCCCAGCACUUGCAGUUAGGCAGGGCCACUUGACCAGUUCUGGCCAUGAAAUAUGGGUGAAAAUAAUGACUGCCACAUACCUACAUCCAUGUACAAUUUUAUGUGCUUUCUUCUGCUGUGCCUAUCAAGGAGGACAUGCACUCAAAUGAUACAGCUACAAGGUGACGGCACCUGCUUUAGCCUGAGUCCUGAGUGACUAUAUGGCGCAAAGUCCUUCACUGACCCACAAUGAACAUGUAGCAUGAAUGAGAAAUAAACUAUUGUGUGUUUAACCAUUGAGAUUUUUGCAGCUGUUUAUUAUUGCAGCACAGUCUGGCCUAUCCUGACUAAUACCAUAGGCUGGAAUGCUCUUACACAUUGAUUGAGGAAGUAUCAGGAAUAUAAUGAGAUUCUUGAGGGAAAAAGAAAACAAACAAACAAACCUUGGUUGAUACUAUAAACUAUUAUCCCAUUACAAUUUUAUAAGUCAAGGAUGUUAUUCAAAAUAUUGAAUAACCUGUAUAGCAUGAGUCCAACUAAUCAGAACAGUCACAAAAACAAAUCAGAAGAGAUAUCACCCAGUAGAGUAUGCAGGGAGGUGUCAGCUGAAGAUCCUUGGCAUGUUGUCAGAGCAAUAUGAGCAUUAAAUAUCUUGAAUAUGGAAUAAGUGAAUGAGCAAUAAGGCUGAUUAUAAGCUGAGUUCAUGGCCUCUGCAUCUAAAAUUUACUUAAAACAAAGAAGGUGGACUCCAGAGUCUGGAAGGUUAAAUGGAUGCAUUUCCCUGGCUGUUCCUUCUGCUCCAACCUGAAAAAAAAAUAAAGCAACUGAAUCUCAGCAUCUGUAUCUGCUUAUCUAUUUUAUGGCCAAAUCAUUUCUUAUCUGUUAACAUUUAGCCUGCUCGAAAAUGUGGCCAUUUAUAUGUCAACAUAUUUAUUGAUAUGUUUUCAAGUGUACUUCUAAUUGUUCAGAAUGUCAAAUUCUUUCUGGGAAGCUCAAAUAAUUGACAUAUUCCUGCCACUAUGGAUAAUCAAUAGUCUAGUGAUGCCCUAAGUAACAAACUGAGAGACCGAGAAGACCUCCUGAACCAUGAGAGAAAGAUUCAAGAAUGUUCUGGGUGGUUCUAAGGUUAAGUACACACUGCUGUGGGCUUACUUGGACACGGGCCAUUGUUAUAUGAUUGGAAUAUUUGUCCCCUCCAAAACUCAUGUUGAAACUUGAACACAAAUGUUUCAGGAUUGAGAGGUGAUUGGAUCAUGAGGGCUCUGCCCCAGUGAAUGGAUAAAUCCAUCAUGGAUUAAUUGAUUAAAGGGUUAAUGGAUUAAUGAAUUAUCAUGGGAGUGGAAUGGAUGGCUUUAUAAGAAGAGGAAGAGAGCCUGGGCUAGUACACAAACGCACUCAGCCCACUUACCAUGUGAUGCCCUGCCUACCUCAGGAUGCUUCAGAGUCCCCACCAGUAAGAAGGCCAUCACCAGAUGCAGGCCCUCGACCUUGG
rnacentral:lncRNA from 10 species